rnacentral:rRNA from 1 species
UUUCCUACGGGAGGCAGCAGUGGGGAAUUUUGGACAAUGGGCGCAAGCCUGAUCCAGCCAUGCCGCGUGGGUGAAGAAGGCCUUCGGGUUGUAAAGCCCUUUCGGCUGGGACGAAAAGGUCCGCGCUAACACCGCGGAUCCAUGACGGUACCAGCAGAAGAAGCACCGGCUAACUACGUGCCAGCAGCCGCGGUAAUACGUAGGGUGCAGGCGUUAAUCGGAAUUACUGGGCGUAAAGCGUGCGCAGGCGGUCUAUUAAGACAGGUGUGAAAUCCCCGGGCUUAACCUGGGAACUGCGCUUGUAACUGAUAGGCUUGAGUGUGGCAGAGGGGGGUGGAAUUCCACGUGUAGCAGUGAAAUGCGUAGAGAUGUGGAGGAACACCGAUGGCGAAGGCAGCCCCCUGGGCUAACACUGACGCUCAUGCACGAAAGCGUGGGGAGCAAACAGGAUUAGAUACCCUGGUAGUCCACGCCCUAAACUAUGUCAACUGGUUGUCGGGGAAGCAAUUCCUUGGUAACGAAGCUAACGCGUGAAGUUGACCGCCUGGGGAGUACGGCCGCAAGGUUAAAACUCAAAGGAAUUGACGGGGACCCGCACAAGCGGUGGAUUAUGUGGAUUAAUUCGAUGCAACGAGUAAACCUUACCUACCCUUGACAUGCCAGGAACCUCGCUAGAGAUGU